CGAAAAACCAAAUUGUAAAGGUUUUGGAUUGUGAGCCCGAAAAACAAUCCUACUGUAAUCUGAGGGGUUAUAGUAAAAUUCCCAAGGGAACGCUUGGGGAGUGGACGUAGGUGCCUUGGGAUGCACCGAACCACUAUAUAUCGUUGUGUUUGUGUUGUGCUUGUUCUUAUGGUUAUUCUUGCAUUUUCUUUCAUCUUUGCUUUAGUUUAAUUCAUUCAAAUAAUUUAAGAAAGCAUCCACUGCACUUAACUAAGAAAACCUUUAAAGCACCAAAAAUUUAGAAAA
rnacentral:lncRNA from 1 species